UUGGAGGGCAAGUCUGGUGCCAGCAGCCGCGGUAAUUCCAGCUCCAAUAGCAUAUAUUAAAGUUGUUGCAGUUAAAAAGCUCGUAGUUGAAUUUCGGGAUCAAGGAAUCGGUCAUGCCUUGGUAUGUACUGGUUUUAUUGGUUCUCACCUUCUAAAGAACCAUAAUGUCAUUUAUUUGAUGUUAUGGGGAAUUAGGACUGUUACCUUGAAAAAAUUAGAGUGUUUAAAGCAAGCUUACGCUUGAAUACAUUAGCAUGGAAUAAUGAAAUAGGACAUCAGAUUCUAUUUUGUUGGUUUCUAGGAUCGAUGUAAUGAUUAAUAGGGAUAGUUGGGGGCAUUAGUAUUCAAUUGUCAGAGGUGAAAUUCUUGGAUUUAUUGAAGACUAACUACUGCGAAAGCAUUUGCCAAGGAUGUUUUCAUUAAUCAAGAACGAAAGUUAGGGGAUCGAAGACGAUCAGAUACCGUCGUAGUCUUAACCAUAAACUAUGCCGACUAGGGAUCGGAUGAUGUUAAUUUUUUAAUGACUCAUUCGGCGCCUUACGGGAAAC
rnacentral:rRNA from 1 species